UUUUGUUUUUAAUCUUAGUCGCCAGGGACUCCCACAAUUAAAUGAAAUAUAUUCAUUCCCUGUUUUGGAGAAUUUUGUGUCUUUCUGUAAUUGGAACACAGUUAUUUUUAGAACCGUAUGAUUGGGCCACCUAAUUGACUUCUCUCUUACCGUCUCUGUAAAUCGCUCAACCAGUGCCUGCUUCACCUACACCUACACUCACAUAGCUCACCUAACUACAAACUUGUCCCCAUCCCAGCUAGUGAUUGUCCAUCUGCGCUUGUGUUCAGUCAUGUGCGACGCUUUGCAACCUGUAGCCCUCUGGCAAACUGUGGCCCACCAGGCUCCUCUGUCCAUGGGAUUCUCCAGGAAAGAAUACUGGAGUGGGUUGCCAUUUCCUGACCCAGGGAUCGAACCUACUUUUCCUGUGUCUCCUGCAUUGCAGGCAGAUUCUUUACUGCUGAGCAGUUGUGGAAGCCCAUUAGUGAUUGUUCUAACCUUUAAAUCAGCUCAUCUCCAACUGUUAGCUAAUCAAAGGGGCCAUGAGAGACGUGCCCUUUUGCUAGUUUCGGGUAACCAAUGAGCCACCUGACACUAAUUACUCCAUAAAUAGUACCCUCCCCUCGCCUGGGAGCAUGGGCUGCCGCCACGUUCUGCCCACUAGUUGCAUAGCGUGCAGUGUUGCUCCAGGACCUUGCUUCAGAAAUCUCACCAAGUUCUGGACUUGAACUUCUGUGUUUUCUACAAUACUCUCUCUCAGGAGGUCUUUUGUGAUAAAAUAGAACAAAACUGACGAGUGGGGUGCCAUCGCCUUCUCCGAGUAAAGAAGGGGAAACAUCUUUUGGAUUGGCAUUGAAGAGACUCCAUAAUUCCUGCUACAAGGGCCAAAACCAACAGAAAGCUUGCCAGUAUAUUACUGGCUUCAAUACACUUUGAAAAAUGGCAUAGAGAUGAAAUCCCUCUUAUGGGGCAACUUUCACAUUCAGCGGUCCCUAUUCCCAUAUUGUGGGCUGUUGAACUGGGAAUGGUAUAUUUUAAAUUUUCAUGGCAUUUUUUUUUCUUCUUGUAAUAUUGACAUUUUUCCAAUGUAAAGAAUUUAAGCAAUAUAAAAGGCAUAAAAAUGAAAGUGAAAAUCUCCUAUAACUCAACCACCCAUAGAUAAAUAUUAACAUAUUGGUGUUAUUCCUUCAGACUCUCUUAAGUGGGUCUAUAAAAUAAAUGGGAAUCUCCAUUUUAUGUUUGGAAGGAGGACACUAUGAAAAGUGGAAUGAGGUGAGAGGAAAGAAGGAGAAUUAAGUCACCUUGUUUCUGGGUAAGCAUCAAGUUUGGAUGUAUCUGUUAUUAUUCAAUGAUGUACAAACAAGAAAAGAGGAAAAAAAAGAGAAAGAACAAAUAUUUACCAUCCCCUCCAAAGAAACAACCCCACAAUUCAAGAAUCAAAGGAAAACCAAGCUUUAAAAAAAGACCACAUUUUCCAUGGUUAAAUACUUAUGACAACUUAUAUGUCCAUCAUGAAUGAAUUAUGGUGGACUCAAUCAAUGCUACUUGCUCACUACUUAAUGAACAGUGUUACUUCAGUGAAUGAAUGUGAUAACCAUUCUGUGAUACAUUUAAAGAUGUGUUUAUAAACAUGUAGAAAGAUAUUUGUUCUUUGUGCACUACUUUGAAA